CCCAGGACAGGUCACUCAGACGUUUCUGUCCCCACUGUCCCAUCCCAGGACACGUCACUCAGACGUUGCUGUCCCUCCUGUGCCAGGUCACUCAGCUCAGACGUUGCUGUCCCAGGUCACUCAGACGUUGCUGUCCCCACUGUCCCAGGUCACUCAGACGUUGCUGUCCCAGGUCACUCAGACGUUGCUGUCCCCACUGUCCCGUCCCAGGACAGGUCACUCAGACGUUGCUGUCCCCACUGUCCCAGGUCACUCAGACGUUGCUGUCCCAGGUCACUCAGACGUUGCUGUCCCCACUGUCCCAGGACAGGUCACUCAGCUCAGACGUUGCUGACCCUGCUGGCGGCGGGGGCGUGGCCGGGGGCGGGGGCGGGCCCGGGGCCGUGGGCGGGGCCGGGGGCGGGGCCGGGCGGGGCCGGGCCCUGGGGCCGCUCCCUGCGGACGUAGCGCGGCUUCCGCACUG